rnacentral:rRNA from 1 species
UGACCGCUGGCGGCGUGCCUACUACAUGCACGUCGAGCGAACGGACGAGAAGCUUGCUUCUCUGAUGUUAGCGGCGGACGGGUGAGUAACACGUGGAUAACCUACCUAUAAGACUGGGAUAACUUCGGGAAACCGGAGCUAAUACCGGAUGAUAUUUUGAACCGCAUGGUUCAAAAGUGAAAGACGGUCUUGCUGUCACUUAUAGAUGGAUCCGCGCUGCAUUAGCUAGUUGGUAAGGUAACGGCUUACCAAGGCAACGAUGCAUAGCCGACCUGAGAGGGUGAUCGGCCACACUGGAACUGAGACACGGUCCAGACUCCUACGGGAGGCAGCAGUAGGGAAUCUUCCGCAAUGGGCGAAAGCCUGACGGAGCAACGCCGCGUGAGUGAUGAAGGUCUUCGGAUCGUAAAACUCUGUUAUUAGGGAAGAACAUAUGUGUAAGUAACUGUGCACAUCUUGACGGUACCUAAUCAGAAAGCCACGGCUAACUACGUG